AUUGAACGCUGGCGGCAUGCCUUACACAUGCAAGUCGAACGGCAGCACGGGAGCAAUCCUGGUGGCGAGUGGCGAACGGGUGAGUAAUAUAUCGGAACGUGCCCAGUCGUGGGGGAUAACGUAGCGAAAGCUACGCUAAUACCGCAUACGAUCUAUGGAUGAAAGCGGGGGAUCGCAAGACCUCGCGCGAUUGGAGCGGCCGAUAUCAGAUUAGGUAGUUGGUGGGGUAAAAGCCUACCAAGCCUUCGAUCUGUAGCUGGUCUGAGAGGACGACCAGCCACACUGGAACUGAGACACGGUCCAGACUCCUACGGGAGGCAGCAGUGGGGAAUUUUGGACAAUGGGCGCAAGCCUGAUCCAGCAAUGCCGCGUGCAGGAUGAAGGCCUCGGUU
rnacentral:rRNA from 1 species